CUAAGGAUGGUUCUUCAGAAGCUUGCUUCUAUCGAACCGUUUUAGAAACAUCAGUGGCCAACGGUCGUCAGGAUCGUUGAGCUGCAUUGGCGGGAUUUCGCCGUCUUCGUUUCUCUUUCUUCGCGGACGAACACGCGCUGGGGCUGCAACCUUGCAGAAUCCCUGGUCCUUGACUGGAUAUGCGUUAGGGGCUUGUAGCUCAGUUGGUUAGAGCGCGCGCUUGAUAAGCGUGAGGUCGGAAGUUCAAGUCUUCCCAGGCCCACCACACUCAUCGAGUGAGCAUUCGUCUUCUGGUUACGGGGCCAUAGCUCAGCUGGGAAAAGCCGCGUGCUUUGCAAGCAUGAGGUCGUCGGUUCGAUCCCGUCUGGCUCCACCAGAUGGUUUGAUCACCGGCUGCUCAUACCGUCGUCCGCGAAACAUCACUUCGCACUUACUAGUCCGGAUGGACAGUAAGCUGCGUGAUUUCUGACAUCGUAAAGAGGAGAUCGAUCCGAGUUGGAUCGGGCAACAAGUAAUUGUUGCGCGAUACUUCAUUAUCUCCGGAUCAUUUCGGCGCUCGUGCGUCUUCCAUUGUAGCUCACAAGGCUGCUUUGAAAGACAAGCGAGUUGUAAAUGAUCCUUUUAGCGAAGCUUGACCGCCUCGCUAUCGGAACGAUCUUACGAAGCAAGCUGGUCUUUCUAAUCAUUGUCCGGCUGCAGAUAGCGUUCAUCGAGGGCGCGUGCCGCAAGGUAGUUCUGCAGACAACAUUCUGCCGAGUGUGUGGACAUUGAUAAUGAGAGC
rnacentral:tRNA from 1 species